CGAAGGGGGCUAGCGUUGUUCGGAAUUACUGGGCGUAAAGCGCGUGUAGGCGGUUAUCCAAGUCGGGUGUGAAAGCCUUGAGCUCAACUCAAGAAAUGCAUUCGGUACUGGGUGACUAGAGGACCGGAGAGGAUAGUGGAAUUCCCAGUGUAGUGGUGAAAUACGUAGAGAUUGGGAAGAACACCAGUGGCGAAGGCGGCUAUCUGGACGGUUUCUGACGCUAAGACGCGAAAGCGUGGGGAGCAAACAGGAUUAGAUACCCUGGUAGUCCACGCCGUAAACGAUGGGUGCUAGACGUUGGCGAGCUUGCUCGUCAGUGUCGCAGCUAACGCGUUAAGCACCCCGCCUGGGGAGUACGGCCGCAAGGUUG
rnacentral:rRNA from 1 species